CCGGGGGUUGCCUUAGUAGCGGCGAGUGAGCGGCAAUAGCUCAAAUUUGAAAUCUGGCACUUUCAGUGUCCGAGUUGUAAUUUGAAGAAGGUAUCUUUGGGUCUAGCUCUUGUCUAUGUUUCUUGGAACAGAACGUCACAGAGGGUGAGAAUCCCGUGCGAUGAGAUGUCUAGAUCUAUGUAAAGUUCCUUCGAAGAGUCGAGUUGUUUGGGAAUGCAGCUCUAAGUGGGUGGUAAAUUCCAUCUAAAGCUAAAUAUUGGCGAGAGACCGAUAGCGAACAAGUACAGUGAUGGAAAGAUGAAAAGAACUUUGAAAAGAGAGUGAAAAAGUACGUGAAAUUGUUGAAAGGGAAGGGCUUGAGAUCAGACUUGGUAUUUUGUAUGUUACUCUCUCGGGGGUGGCCUCUACAGUUUACCGGGCCAGCAUCAGUUUGAGCGGUAGGAGAAUUGCGUAGGAAUGUGGCUCGGCCUCGGUCGAGUGUUAUAGCCUUCGUCGAUACUGCCAGCUUAGACUGAGGACUGCGGCUUCGGCCUAGGAUGUUGGCAUAAUGAUCUUAAGUCGCCCGUCUUGACACGCGAACCAAAAGUGGUGCAUAUCAAUA
rnacentral:rRNA from 1 species